CAGGUAUUAAACUGAAGAGUUUGAUCCUGGCUCAGCUUCAAUGGUACCGGCAUGUGUUAGACAUCGAAGUCGUACGGCAGGACGCGCAGCAGC
rnacentral:rRNA from 1 species